GUGGUCUUAGCGUUAGCUGCUAAUGUGAGAGCCUGCACAGUAAUGCACUGCAAAAUAUGUUACAGAUCUCUCUCCCUACAUAUGUGCCUGAUGUGGUGGACUCAGGCUUAGAUGCAGGCUCAGAUGGUUGGUAGUGAUGGCUCUGCUGGCCCUGAUCCCUCCUGUUCAUCAUAUCCAGCUGUCUGAUAGAUGCAGAUGAACCCCACUGACCCUCAGGCCCACCCACCCACAUGUCCACCUACAGUCCAGCUGUGGGGCUACAUCAGAGAUCAAGCCUACACGAAACAGCAGAAGCCCUUCCCGACAAAGCUGGCCUCCUCCAGCAAGACAAUGUGAUGCACAGAACUGGAAACCAUUCAGGAGAAGCUGAGAGACUGUCCUGACUUCACCCUCCAGAAGCCAAUCUGAUCUCACUCUGAUCAAAAAGUCUGAUCCCACAACUCACAGAACCUAAAGAGUCCAUUUCCAACAUCACAGAGCCAUGAAAGGACAUGACA